rnacentral:tRNA from 1 species
GCAACUGUAGUAUAUUAGUACUUCACAUUUUCGUUGUGAGAGUGGAAACUUUUCCUAGUAGCU